rnacentral:misc_RNA from 1 species
AAUCAUCAACUUACAAGCCUUUGCGGACUGUAAGCUUGGACUUGGAGGCUUGCCGGCUCUUUCGUCGGCUCCUCUCAAAUGCAUUAGCUCGAUUCCUUGCGGAUCGGCUCUCGGUGUGAUAAUGUCUACGCCGUGACCGUGAAGCGUUUGGCGGGCUUCUAAUCGUCUCGUUGGAGACAAUCUAUUGAC